UACGUAGGUGGCAAGCGUUAUCCGGAAUGACUGGGUGUAAAGGGAGCGUAGACGGUUGUUCAAGUCUGAUGUGAAAGCCCUCGGCUUAACUGGGGGAGUGCAUUGGAAACUGAAGGACUAGAGUAUCGGAGAGGCAAGUGGAAUUCCUAGUGUAGCGGUGAAAUGCGUAGAUAUUAGGAGGAACACCAGUGGCGAAGGCGGCUUGCUGGACGAAAACUGACGUUGAGGCUCGAAAGCGUGGGGAGCAAACAGG
rnacentral:rRNA from 1 species